rnacentral:rRNA from 1 species
UUUUUGAUUCGGUCGAGUGGGACUGAGACACGGCCCAGACUCCUACGGGAGGCAGCAGUGGGGAAUAUUGCACAAUGGGCGCAAGCCUGAUGCAGCCAUGCCGCGUGUGUGAAGAAGGCCUUCGGGUUGUAAAGCACUUUCAGUCAGGAGGAAAGGUUAGUAGUUAAUACCUGCUAGCUGUGACGUUACUGACAGAAGAAGCACCGGCUAACUCCGUGCCAGCAGCCGCGGUAAUACGGAGGGUGCGAGCGUUAAUCGGAAUUACUGGGCGUAAAGCGUACGCAGGCGGUUUGUUAAGCGAGAUGUGAAAGCCCCGGGCUCAACCUGGGAACUGCAUUUCGAACUGGCAAACUAGAGUGUGAUAGAGGGUGGUAGAAUUUCAGGUGUAGCGGUGAAAUGCGUAGAGAUCUGAAGGAAUACCGAUGGCGAAGGCAGCCACCUGGGUCAACACUGACGCUCAUGUACGAAAGCGUGGGGAGCAAACGGGAUUAGAUACCCCGGUAGUCCACGCCGUAAACGAUGUCUACUAGAAGCUCGGAGCCUCGGUUCUGUUUUUCAAAGCUAACGCAUUAAGUAGACCGCCUGGGGAGUACGGCCGCAAGGUUAAAACUCAAAUGAAUUGACGGGGGCCCGCACAAGCGGUGGAGCAUGUGGUUUAAUUCGAUGCAACGCGAAGAACCUUACCUACACUUGACAUACAGAGAACUUACCAGAGAUGGUUUGGUGCCUUAGGGAACUCUGAUACAGGUGCUGCAUGGCUGUCGUCAGCUCGUGUUGUGAGAUGUCGGGUUAAGUCCCGCAACGAGCGCAACCCUAUCCUUAGUUGCUAGCAGGUAAUGCUGAGAACUCUAAGGAGAAUGGCGGUGAUAACCGGAGGAAGGUGGGGACCACGUCCAGUCAUCUGGGACCUUAC